UACGUAGGUGGCAAGCGUUAUCCGGAAUUAUUGGGCGUAAAGAGCGCGCAGGUGGUUAAUUAAGUCUGAUGUGAAAGCCCACGGCUUAACCGUGGAGGGUCAUUGGAAACUGGUUGACUUGAGUGCAGAAGAGGGAAGUGGAAUUCCAUGUGUAGCGGUGAAAUGCGUAGAGAUAUGGAGGAACACCAGUGGCGAAGGCGGUUUCCUGGUCUGCAACUGACACUGAGGCGCGAAAGCGUGGGGAGCAAACAGG
rnacentral:rRNA from 1 species